rnacentral:rRNA from 1 species
AUUGAACGCUGGCGGCAGGCCUAACACAUGCAAGUCGAGCGGAUGAAGGGAGCUUGCUCCUGGAUUCAGCGGCGGACGGGUGAGUAAUGCCUAGGAAUCUGCCUGGUAGUGGGGGAUAACGUCCGGAAACGGGCGCUAAUACCGCAUACGUCCUGAGGGAGAAAGUGGGGGAUCUUCGGACCUCACGCUAUCAGAUGAGCCUAGGUCGGAUUAGCUAGUUGGUGGGGUAAAGGCCUACCAAGGCGACGAUCCGUAACUGGUCUGAGAGGAUGAUCAGUCACACUGGCACUGCAACACGGUCCAGACUCCUACGGGAGGCAGCAGUGGGGAAUAUUGGACAAUGGGCGAAAGCCUGAUCCAGCCAUGCCGCGUGUGUGAAGAAGGUCUUCGGAUUGUAAAGCACUUUAAGUUGGGAGGAAGGGCAGUAAGUUAAUACCUUGCUGUUUUGACGUUACCAACAGAAUAAGCACCGGCUAACUUCGUG